AACGAACGCUGGCGGCAUGCCUAACACAUGCAAGUCGAACGAGACCUUCGGGGCUAGUGGCGCACGGGUGCGUAACGCGUGGGAAUCUGCCCUUGGGUGCGGAAUAACAGUUAGAAAUGACUGCUAAUACCGCAUAAUGACUCCGGCCCAAAGAUUUAUCGCCCAAGGAUGAGCCCGCGUCGGAUUAGCUAGUUGGUGAGGUAAAAGCUCACCAAUGCGACGAUCCGUAGCUGGUCUGAGAGGAUGAUCAGCCACACUGGGACUGAGACACGGCCCAGACUCCUACGGGAGGCAGCAGUGGGGAAUAUUGGACAAUGGGCGAAAGCCUGGCCCAGCAGUGCCGCGUGAGUGAUGAAGGCCUUAGGGGUGUAAAGCUCUUUUACCCGGGAUGAUGAUGACAGUACCGGGAGAACAAGCCCCGGCUAACUCCGAGCCAGCCGCCGCAGUAAAAC
rnacentral:rRNA from 1 species